rnacentral:SRP_RNA from 1 species
UGGCGGGCAGUCCGGGUGGUUCGGCGUCACCUGUAACCCGAAAUCGUCGACAAGCGGGGGGCGAAGCUGACGGAAGACUCUGGGCGCUGUGUGCUCAGUCCAGUUGCUAACUAUGAUUCUCCGUCCUGCAGGGAUAGCACCGGUUCAUGGACCUUCCUGAAGGGAGGUCUAUGUACCAUAAUUGCGGGAACAGGUUCAGGCCCGGAAGGGAGCAGACCCACCGCGGGUAACUGUCGCUUACAGGUUUAAGGGGAGGAGGAAGCUUCGGGAUUAACUGGCAUGCAAGCUCGGUGGCAACCGCCGGCGUGCCCGCCA